rnacentral:rRNA from 1 species
AUUGAACGCUGGCGGCAGGCCUAACACAUGCAAGUCGAGCGAGAUCUUCGGAUCUAGCGGCGGACGGGUGAGUAACGCGUGGGAAUAUGCCCUUCUCUACGGAAUAGCCUCGGGAAACUGGGAGUAAUACCGUAUACGCCCUUAGGGGGAAAGAUUUAUCGGAGAAGGAUUAGCCCGCGUUGGAUUAGGUAGUUGGUGGGGUAAUGGCCUACCAAGCCUACGAUCCAUAGCUGGUUUGAGAGGAUGAUCAGCCACACUGGGACUGAGACACGGCCCAGACUCCUACGGGAGGCAGCAGUGGGGAAUCUUAGACAAUGGGGGCAACCCUGAUCUAGCCAUGCCGCGUGAGUGAUGAAGGCCUUAGGGUUGUAAAGCUCUUUCAGCUGGGAAGAUAAUGACGGUACCAGCAGAAGAAGCCCCGGCUAACUCCGUGCCAGCAGCCGCAGUAAAAC